GGGCCGAUAGGUAAACGGUAUACCGUACCCUUCGCAUGGGUAAGUUCUGGGUUCAAUUCCCAGCCGGUCCA
rfam:Microgenomates (Woesebacteria) bacterium GW2011_GWA1_39_12 TT23_C0004, whole genome shotgun sequence.